ensembl:snRNA U6 U6 spliceosomal RNA
GUGCCCACUUUGGCAGCACAUAUGCUCAAACUGGAAUGACACAGAGAAGAUUAGCACAACCCCUGUGCAAGGAUGACAUGCAAAUUCAUGAAUUUUUCCAUAUUAAA